AAGCGAAGUUAAUAGCGAACACUAUACAGUAAAAACUCAAAUUAAAAUAUAAUGUGCAUCUCUUAUCAUUCAUAAGGCUUACCUGCCUGGAAAUGAUUCGUUUUACUAUCUGAUUUUAUUUCUACCUCGACGCAUAUAAAUCCUUUAGCUUUGCGACGGCUUUCAUUUCGAAAAGCGCACAACCGUACUGUGGGUUCCCAAUAUCAUGUUGUUGAUGAGCCAAACACAAAUAUCAGAUAUUCCAUCCUUCUGGAGCAGUAGCCAAUUUCAUGCCACCGUAGC